AUUGAACGCUGGCGGUAACUUUUAAACAUGCAAGUCGAGCGGUAACAGACAUAAAGAUUCAGCUUGCUGAAUCCGGUGCUGACGAGCGGCGAACGGGUGAGUAACGCGUAGGAAUCUACCCAGUAGCGGGGGAUAGCCCGAGGAAACUCGGAUUAAUACCGCAUACGCCCUGAGGGGGAAAGGGGGCAGUUUACUGCUCUCACUAUUGGAUGAGCCUGCGUAAGAUUAGCUUGUUGGUGGGGUAAUGGCCUACCAAGGCGACGAUCUUUAGCUGGUCUGAGAGGACGAUCAGCCACAUUGGGACUGAGACACGGCCCAGACAUCUACGGAUGGCAGCAGUUAAGAAUAUUGGACAAUGGGGGCAACCCUGAUCCAGGUAUACCGCGUGUGUGAAGAAGGC
rnacentral:rRNA from 1 species